rnacentral:rRNA from 1 species
AGUUUGAUCAUGGCUCAGAACAAACGCUGGCGGCGUGCCUAAUACAUGCAAGUCGAACGGGGAAUAUACCUUCGGGUAUUAGUACUAGUGGCGCACGGGUGAGUAAUACGUAGAUAAUCUUCCUUAAAGUGGGGAAUAACCAGUCGAAAGACUGGCUAAUACCGCAUAAGACCACAGGCUCUGAGGAGCUAGGGGUUAAAGGCUUCGGUCGCUUUAAGAUGAGUCUGCGUCCCAUUAGCUAGUUGGCGGGGUAAAAGCCCACCAAGGCUGUGAUGGGUAGCUGGUCUGAGAGGAUGGCCAGCCACACUGGGACUGAGACACGGCCCAGACUCCUACGGGAGGCAGCAGUAGGGAAUUUUGCACAAUGGACGAAAGUCUGAUGCAGCGACGCCGCGUGAGUGAUGAAGGCCUUCGGUUGUAAGACUCUGUUCUCAGGGAAUAAAAAAAUAGAAGGUACCUAGAGAAGAAAGGAACCGGACGUAACUUACGUG